rnacentral:rRNA from 1 species
UACUAGAGUAGCACUCGCAUAUCAAUAAGCGGAGGAAAAGAAACUAACAAGGAUUCCCCUAGUAACGGCGAGUGAAGCGGGAAGAGCUCAAAUUUGAAAUCUUAAAGGGUUUCCCUUUACGAAUUGUAGUUUAAAGAAGUGUUUUCUGUUGAGGUUUUGGUAAAAGUUCUUUGGAAUAGGACAUCAUAGAGGGUGAGAAUCCCGUAUUUGACCUUUACUUUCAACUUUGUGAUACACUUUCAAAGAGUCGGAUUGUUUGGGAAUGCAGUCCAAAAUGGGUGGUAAAUUUCAUCUAAAGCUAAAUAUUGGCGAGAGACCGAUAGCGAACAAGUACCGUGAGGGAAAGAUGAAAAGAACUUUGAAAAGAGAGUUAAACAGUACGUGAAAUUGUCAAAAGGGAAGCGUUUGACACCAGUGUUGUUUUUCUGAAAAUCAAUUAAAGAACUGUUUAUGCUAAGCUGUUUAGACUUUAUCAGCUAACUGUUUAGUUUUGAGCUUUUCUUUAAUGCACUUUUCAGUUAACAAGUCAACAUCAAUUUCUUUUGCUGUAAAAAAGCUUGAGGAAGGUGGCUUGAGAUUCGUUUUAAGUGUUUAUAGCCUCUUGCCUAUGCAGUCGGAGAGAUUGAGGUCCUGCAGCGUAGAUCCUUCGGGGCUAAAUGCAUUUGUGCUAAGUUAUAGCAUUUUAUAGACAACUUGUUGACUAUGAUUUGUCUUGUAGCUUACUCGCUUAUGUUAUUUUACCUACGCUUAGGAUGUUGAGUCAUCACACAUCUCU